AAAAAAUGUCACAUGCUGUUGUGCAAAUGGAAUAGACAACAGGUGGAAAUUAUAGGCAAUUAGCAAGACACCCCCAAUAAAGGAGUGGUUCUGCAGGUGGGGACCACAGACCACUUCUCAGUUCCUAUGCUUCCUGGCUGAUGUUUUGGUCACUUUUGAAUGCUGGCGGUGCUUUCACUCUGUGGUAGCAUGAGAUGGAGUCUACAACCCACACAAGUGGCUCAGGUAGUGCAGCUCAUCCAGGAUGGCACAUCAAUGCGAGCUGUGGCAAGAAGGUUUGCUGUGUCUGUCAGCGUAGUGUCCAGAGCAUGGAGGCGCUACCAGGAGACAGGCCAGUACAUCAGGAGAUGUGGAGGAGGCCGUAGGAGGGCAACAACCCAGC
rnacentral:lncRNA from 1 species